CUUGCUCUUCUUGGAUGAGUUGCGAACGGGUGAGUAACGCGUAGGUAACCUGCCUUGUAGCGGGGGAUAACUAUUGGAAACGAUAGCUAAUACCGCAUAACAAUGGAUGACACAUGUCAUUUAUUUGAAAGGGGCAAUUGCUCCACUACAAGAUGGACCUGCGUUGUAUUAGCUAGUAGGUGAGGUAACGGCUCACCUAGGCGACGAUACAUAGCCGACCUGAGAGGGUGAUCGGCCACACUGGGACUGAGACACGGCCCAGACUCCUACGGGAGGCAGCAGUAGGGAAUCUUCGGCAAUGGGGGCAACCCUGACCGAGCAACGCCGCGUGAGUGAAGAAGGUUUUCGGAUCGUAAAGCUCUGUUGUAAGUCAAGAACGAGUGUGAGAGUGGAAAGUUCACACUGUGACGGUAGCUUACCAGAAAGGGACGGCUAACUACGUGCCAGCAGCCGCGGUAAUACGUAGGUCCCGAGCGUUGUCCGGAUUUAUUGGGCGUAAAGCGAGCGCAGGCGGUUUGAUAAGUCUGAAGUUAAAGGCUGUGGCUCAACCAUAGUUCGCUUUGGAAACUGUCAAACUUGAGUGCAGAAGGGGAGAGUGGAAUUCCAUGUGUAGCGGUGAAAUGCGUAGAUAUAUGGAGGAACACCGGUGGCGAAAGCGGCUCUCUGGUCUGUAACUGACGCUGAGGCUCGAAAGCGUGGGGAGCGAACAGGAUUAGAUACCCUGGUAGUCCACGCCGUAAACGAUGAGUGCUAGGUGUUGGAUCCU
rnacentral:rRNA from 1 species